ACCGGCUUAAAAUUCAAAAGACUUGACAGUAUUUCAUAUCAACCUAGAGGAGCCUGUCCUAAAAUCGAUAAUCCACGAUCAACCUCACCCGCCUUUGCAAUAACAGCCUAUAUACCUCCGUCGCCAGCCCGCCUGAAAACAGAAAAAUAGCGAGUGCAACAACUAAUCGUUAAUACGACAGGUCACGGUGUAGCUUAUACGCGGGGCAGAGAUGGGCUACAUUUCUUAAUAUAAUAAAUACCUACCCCGCCAUGAAAUCUGCGGAACAAGGUGGAUUUAGCAGUAAGUUAGGCAAGAAAGCCUAUCUGAAGCGCGCUCUGAAAUGUGCACACACCGCCCGUCACCCUCUUCAACAGCAAUCUUUUACUAACAUAUAUCUAGCCGCACAAAAGAUGAGGUAAGUCGUAACAUGGUAAGCGCACUGGAAAGUGCGCUUGGAAAAUCUCAGCGGUAGCUUAAAACUAAAGCAACGGGCUUACAACCCAC
rnacentral:rRNA from 1 species